rnacentral:rRNA from 1 species
GUGUCAGCAGCCGCGGUAAUACGUAGGGUGCAAGCGUUGUCCGGAAUUAUUGGGCGUAAAGAGCUCGUAGGCGGUUCGUCGCGUCGGCUGUGAAAACCUGAGGCUCAACCUCAGGCCUGCAGUCGAUACGGGCGGACUUGAGUACUGCAGGGGAGACUGGAAUUCCUGGUGUAGCGGUGAAAUGCGCAGAUAUCAGGAGGAACACCGGUGGCGAAGGCGGGUCUCUGGGCAGUAACUGACGCUGAGGAGCGAAAGCGUGGGGAGCGAACAGGAUUAGAUACCCUGGUAGUCCACGCCGUAAACGUUGGGCGCUAGGUGUGGGGGCCAUUCCACGGUCUCCGUGCCGCAGCUAACGCAUUAAGCGCCCCGCCUGGGGAGUACGGCCGCAAGGCUAAAACUUAAAUGAAUUGACGGGG